GACGAACGCUGGCGGCGUGCUUAACACAUGCAAGUCGAGCGGAAAGGCCCUGCUUUUGUGGGGUGCUCGAGUGGCGAACGGGUGAGUAACACGUGAGUAACCUGCCCUUGACUUUGGGAUAACUUCAGGAAACUGGGGCUAAUACCGGAUAGGAGCUCCUGCUGCAUGGUGGGGGUUGGAAAGUUUCGGCGGUUGGGGAUGGACUCGCGGCUUAUCAGCUUGUUGGUGGGGUAGUGGCUUACCAAGGCUUUGACGGGUAGCCGGCCUGAGAGGGUGACCGGCCACAUUGGGACUGAGAUACGGCCCAGACUCCUACGGGAGGCAGCAGUGGGGAAUAUUGCACAAUGGGCGGAAGCCUGAUGCAGCAACCCCGCGUGCGGGAUGACGGCCUUCGGGUUGUAAACCGCUUUCGCCUGUGACGAAGCGUGAGUGACGGUAAUGGGUAAAGAAGCACCGGCUAACUACGUG
rnacentral:rRNA from 1 species